GGGUUGUGAGGUUAAGCGACUAAGCGUACACGGUGGAUGCCCUGGCAGUCAGAGGCGAUGAAGGGCGUGCUAAUCUGCGAUAAGCGCCGGUAAGGUGAUAUGAACCGUUAUAACCGGCGAUACCCGAAUGGGGAAACCCAGUGUGAUUCGUCACACUAUCAUUAACUGAAUCCAUAGGUUAAUGAGGCGAACCGGGGGAACUGAAACAUCUAAGUACCCCGAGGAAAAGAAAUCAACCGAGAUUCCCCCAGUAGCGGCGAGCGAACGGGGAGGAGCCCAGAGCCUGAAUCAGCAUGUGUGUUAGUGGAAGCGUCUGGAAAGGCGCGCG
rnacentral:rRNA from 1 species